rnacentral:rRNA from 1 species
UGCGCGGGUUGGGGAUGCGUACGAUUAGCUUGCCGGCGGGGUGACGGCCCACCGGGGCGACGAUCGUUAGGGGUUCUGAGAGGAAGGUCCCCCACACUGGUACUGAGACACGGACCAGACUCCUACGGGAGGCAGCAGUGAGGAAUAUUGGUCAAUGGGCGGAAGCCUGAACCAGCCAAGUAGCGUGCAGGAUGACGGCCCUACGGGUUGUAAACUGCUUUUAUGCGGGGAUAACCGCCGGGACGCGUCCCGGCCUGCAGGUACCGCAUGAAUAAGGACCGGCUAAUUCCGUGCCAGCAGCCGCGGUAAUACGGAAGGUCCGGGCGUUAUCCGGAUUUAUCGGGUUUAAAGGGUGCGCAGGCGGGAUGUCAAGUCAGCCGUAAAAUUUCCGGGCCCAACCCGGUCGUGCGGUUGAAACUGGCGUCCUUGAGUGCGGCGGAGGGAGCCGGAAUUCGUGGUGUAGCGGUGAAAUGCAUAGAUAUCACGAGGAACUCCGAUUGCGAAGGCAGGCUCCCGUGCCGCCACUGACGCUCAUGCACGAAGGCGCGGGUAUCAAACAGGAUUAGAUACCCUGGUAGUC